AAAACUUUCAACAACGGAUCUCUUGGUUCUGGCAUCGAUGAAGAACGCAGCGAAAUGCGAUAAGUAAUGUGAAUUGCAGAAUUCAGUGAAUCAUCGAAUCUUUGAACGCACAUUGCGCCCGCUAGUAUUCUGGCGGGCAUGCCUGUCCGAGCGUCAUUU
rnacentral:rRNA from 7 species